rnacentral:rRNA from 1 species
GAUGAACGCUAGCUACAGGCUUAACACAUGCAAGUCGAGGGGUAGCAGGGUAGCAAUACCGCUGACGACCGGCGCACGGGUGAGUAACACGUAUCCAACCUUCCCAUAACUCGGGGAUAGCCUUUCGAAAGAAAGAUUAAUACCCGAUAGUACUUUUUCAAGGCAUCUUUUUUAAGUUAAAGAUUUAUUGGUUAUGGAUGGGGAUGCGUUCCAUUAGAUAGUUGGUGAGGUAACGGCUCACCAAGUCUUCGAUGGAUAGGGGUUCUGAGAGGAAGGUCCCCCACAUUGGUACUGAGACACGGACCAAACUCCUACGGGAGGCAGCAGUGAGGAAUAUUGGUCAAUGGGCGAGAGCCUGAACCGGCCAAGUAGCGUGAAGGAUGAAGGUCCUAUGGAUUGUAAACUUCUUUUAUAGUAGAAUAAAGUGAUCCACGUGUGGAUUUUUGUAUGUAUACUAUGAAUAAGGAUCGGCUAACUCCGUGCCAGCAGCCGCAGUAAAAC